AAAUAUGGCGAAGUACUUCUCCACUGAUGAAGAAAUUUAUUCUCAAGAGAAGCUGCCUCAGCUCCACGGUCCCUCCUGCAGCUUCCACUCCUGAUGCUAACCCCCUGUUUACAUCACACCAUCCGGGCAGACCUGGAGUCACAGAACUUUGUCCAGAGCUGCCGUCUGAGAAUUGUUGAUCAUAUAAUUUCCAGCAGAUGCCUUAAUGUAAUGUUUGUGCACAAUAAAUGACAUUGAUCAUAA